rnacentral:rRNA from 1 species
UACGAAGGGGGCUAGCGUUGCUCGGAAUCACUGGGCGUAAAGCGUGCGCAGGCGGUUUUGUAAGUUUGUCGUGAAAUCCCCGGGCUCAACCUGGGAAUGGCGAUGAAGACUGCAAGGCUGGAAUCUGGCAGAGGGGGGUAGAAUUCCACGUGUAGCAGUGAAAUGCGUAGAGAUGUGGAGGAACACCGAUGGCGAAGGCAGCCCCCUGGGUCAAGAUUGACGCUCAUGCACGAAAGCGUGGGGAGCAAACAGG